CGUUGUACGGCAACCAACGUGCCGCACCUCUGUGGGCGGGGAUUCACACUAGCUGUGUGUGUCAAGGCCACGCAGAAAUCUGUUGGAAAUCGCUGUGGAAACAAACGCAAAUGAAAAGCCGCAAAGAGCAAAGAUCAACUAAUGUAGUGAAUCAUAUUGGGGGAGAGCGAUGGAGCGCCUUUUCUAAUUUGCAUAAGACAUCAUGGUUUUCAUGUCUCACUGGCUGUUCUUCUGCCUGGAAUGCUGUUCCCCAGGCCGUACUGCCUCUUUUGAUCAAUUUGCCCCAUUCAUGGUUAUGCAUGCUGAUGGAGACUGCUUUUGAAGCUUCUUUAUUGAAGGAGCGGGAGAAGAGUAAGAAAGUUGGAGCAGACUAAGAAGACAGGAAAGAAAGAAAAGCAAAAGUAAGAUAGAGACAGAGUCUCGCUCCAUCACCCAGGCUGGAGUGCAGUGUCAAGAUCUCGGCUCACUGCAACCUCUGCCUCCUGGAUUCAAGCGAUUCUCCUGCCUCAGCCUCCCGAGUAGCUGGGACUACAGGCAUAUGCCACCACGACCAGGCUCUGAACUAGUUACUGGACCUCUACCCGUGAACAAGGCAGACCCUGCCUUCUUGGAACUUGUGCUCUGGCAGAACGGACAAGCAUGAAACAAGUAAUUGCAACAUGAUUUACUGUGGCUGCUCACUGGCCCAUCUCCUCUCAUGACUGCUGCUCUGGGAACCACCUCUCUGCUCUCCAUCGCUACCACUCUAGCCUGUGGCCUGCUCCUGGUUGAAGAAGCCAUCAAUCAAAAUGAAUACCACUCUGGAAAUCUUGGGUGGCCUGACCUGAUAUUUUCGCAUAGUGGCCACAGAUAUUUUAGGCCCCCAAGAGGUAGUCUUACUCUUUCAAUUUUACUGGCUCCACUGUUUGAGGAACUUGGAGCAAUUUCCCCAGGGACUGGUCUGGAGGUACUGUUGAAUAACACCACGGUGUUUUUCUUCCUCCCCACUAAGGGCCCGUUGAUGUCUCAAGACCAGACAUAAAACUUUUGGUGCUCAAGUCACUCAGAAUGAGAGUCCUGCUUUCCCUCAGCACUCUUGCCCUUUGAGGGUGGGGCCAAAUGUUUUCUUCCUUUAUUACUGAGGACUUUUGAUCCUGGUUUUUGUUAUUUGUCAUUCCCAGGGGGAAUUUUGUACCCUGUGUCUUGGUAAAGUGUAAGACCACUGUGGAUUUUGGGGUUAAGUCUCAUUUCCCUAUCCCUCCCUUCAAGAGAAGAAAGAAAGAGAGAAUACCCAAACCCUGCAUCAUCUCUCACUCGCCUGUCCAGAGCCUAUGGAACAGCCAUUGGGGCAGCUGUCACAAGCUGUUCACACAGCUUUUCUGAUAUACUGACAGUCUCAUGAGGAAGUGCAUAUAACUCCCUGCAAUGGUUUGAAUGUGUCCUCCAAAGUUUAUGUGUUGGAAACUUAAUACUCAAUACAACAGUGUUGACAGGUGGGACCUUUAAGAGGUGAUUAGAUCACAAGGGCUCUGUCCUUAUGAAUGGAUUAAGGUUAUUGAGAGAGUGGGAUGGUUAUGCAAGCAAGUUUAGCCUCCUUCCUAUGUGCUCUCUCUCUCUUUCUCUCUGAAAAAGAAUGGGAGUUAUUAGAUGCUCUUUUUCAAAAAGAACCCUGGCUCCUUAUACUAUCUCUACAAUUUCUUUACAUCCUAUUCUAACUCUUCACAUUCCAUUCCUCCUUAAUCUUACUUAACCUUACUAUAGUUUUCAUUUUCACCAAGAUUUAUAGUGACUCCAGCUAGUCAAAAACGAUGGUUAACAUUCUUUAUGAUUUCAUCUUACUGACCAAUUGGCAUGUGGUUAACCACUCUUCCACUCUUAAAACACCCUUGGCUUCCCUGAGACCAUGUUCUUUGGAUUUUUUCCCAUACCAUUGGCUUUUGUUUCACUCCUUUGGGUUUUCUUUCUUUGCUCAACUCCUAAAUUUUUGAGUACUCUAUAGGCUUGAUUUUGGUUUCUCUGUUUGUUUUCUGUCUUUAUCCUCAUUCUAGGCAAUCUGAUAACCACCAGAAUUAUGACAAUUUCCAAAUGUAUUUCACUAGCCCCACUAAGGUCCAAACUUACAUAUCCAACCUCCUCCUUAAUAUGAAAUUUGAUAGCUAAUAAUCAUUUGAAACCAGAAUUCUUGAUUCCUCUCUCAAAUCUGUUCUUGUCUUUAUCAUUUCAGUAAAUGACAUAUCUACUUAGUUGUUCAAGCUAAAAACCUAGAAGUCAUUCUUGAUUCCUUCCUUUCUGUCACCCCUGUGUCCAUCCAUCAGCAAAUCUAGUCAGCUCACCCUCCAAAAUCAAUCUCAAAUCUGAUUAUCUCUUUUAUUCUCUAUCUUUACUCUCUUAGUCCAAAUAAUUGGCUGCAGUAACUAUCUAACUGGUCUCCAUGCUUCUGUGUUUGCCCUCUUACAACCCAUCCUCUACAUAGCAUUCAGGGUGAUUUUUUAAGGAAAAUGUAACUCAGCGCAUGUCUAUUCUCUAUCAUUUAAAUUAAACAAAAUUCGACUUCUUCACUUUGUGUGAUUUGGUCUCAUCACACAAGCUUUAUCCAUUUGAGAUUUUGUUAAUUUGUUAUCAGGUGCAAAGAUAGAUCCUUUUAUUCUUUAAAGGCAGAUAUACCUUUUCAAAUACAUCCUUUUACUUUCAACUAAACCCCAAUUUUGCUGGCAAAAGAACACUGCUUUUCCUUUUUAGGAACUGGUUGUGGGCCGGUUUAAGGUACUGAUAGGAUGACCAGACAUGCAGUGGAGAACCCCAGUGUCAUUGCACAAAUGCCAGCCUACCCCAUGUUCGUGGCUGAGCCUAGUUAAAACUGUAGGAGAAUUAAAGUUUUCUUCAGUGCACCAGCCAUUUUUGGGGGGGUAAUUAUUGGGGGAAAUGCUGUAUCACUAUCACCUGCCUCUCCUGCACUUAUUUUGCAAAGUUUGUAGUGCUUUCUUCUAGGCCUCCAUAAAAAUUUGUUCUCAUAAUUUCUAUGUGUGAAAUGUGAACCCAAAAGUAUCUGAGACAGGUCUUGAUCAAUUUAGAAAGUUUAUUUUGCCAAGGCUAAGGACACACCUGAGACACAGCCUCAGGAGGUCCUGACAACAUGUGCCCAAGGUGGCAGGGUACAGCUUGCUUUUAUACAUUUUAGGGAGACAUAAUAAUACAUCAAUCCAUAGAUGUAAGAUUUACAGCGGUUCAAUCAAAAAAGGCAGGACAACUUGAAGUGGGGACUUCCAGGUCAUAGGUAGAUUUAAAAAUUUUCUGAUUGCCAAUUGAUUGAAAGAGUUUUUAUCAGUAGAAAACAAAGUCUGGGUUGUGAUAAGUGGUUGUGCAGUCCAAGGUUUUAUCGUGCAGUUGAAGCCUCCAGGUAGCAAGUUUCAAAGAGAAUACAUUGCAAAUGUUUCUUAUCAGACUUAGGGUUUGUGUUGAUGUUAAAUGCUGGUCAGCUUUUCCUGAAUUCCAAAAGGGAGGAGGGUAUAAUGAGGCAUGUCCAAUCUGCCAUUCCCAUCAUGGCCUGAACCAGUCUUUCAGGUUAUCUUAGGAGUGCCCUGGCCAAGAGGAGGGAGUCCAUUCAGAUGAUUGGGGGGGUCAUAGAAUUUUAUUUUUGGUUUACAGAAAUAAUCUGUAAAAAUGUAUUAAAAAUAACAAAGCAAACAUUUUGCAUUUGUUUUUAAAAGAUAGUCAUGCCUUGUGGCAUGUAAUACUUGUAAUCCCAACACUUAGGGAGGACAGGAGUUCAAGACCAGCCCGGGCAACAUAAUGAGAUCUCAUCUCCAAAAAUAACACAAAUAAAAAAAAAAUUAGCCAGGCAUAGCAGCAUGCGCCUGUGAUCCCACCUCCUCAGGAGGCUGAGGUGGGAAGAUCUCUUGAGCCUAGGAGUUUAAGGUUACAGUGAGCUAUGAUGGCACCACUGCACUCCAGCCUGGAUGACAGACAAGAAAUAAAGAACAAAAGAAAGAAAGGAUGAACAAAAGAAAGAAGUGGGGAAGGAAGGAAGGAAAGAAAGGAAGGGAAGGAAAUAGUUCAUUUGACAAAGACUCCCUUAUUCAGCAAAUGUAGUCAGGCUCCUCUGAGCCCUCCUUUGACUAGACUUUAUCUUUGGCCCAAUCUUUGGCUUGCCAAGUCUAGUUUUAGCUUUGGAUACUGCUUAGCCAGUUUAUAGAGAAUCCCACCACCUUUGAUAUCUAAUCAAGCUCUCCUCCCUACCCUUGAUGUCUAAUCAAGUUCUUCUCCCCCAGUGUUGUUGAUACCUAACCAAGUCCCUCUUUAGUAUGUUUCUAUCCAAUGACUCCCUCAUCAUGCCCCUUGAAUAUAUAUUCCCACUUAUCCCUGUUGUAUUUAUUUAUUGAUUGAUUUUUGAGGUAGGGUCUCACUCUUGUCACUUAGGUUGUUAUCCCUGUUGUAUUUAGAAUUGAGUUCAAUCUCUCUCCUCUAUUGCAAUAGUCUUGAGUAAAGUCUUCCUUGCCAUUUUUAACAAGUGUCUAGUGCAAAAUUUCUCUUCAAUGUGUUGAUUCUAUGCACCUCUUUUUCAUUUUUAAAUUAUCAUUAAUUCUCCCCCAAUCCCCCACAGUAUAAAUCUUCUCUUCUCACUAUGUUCUGACACAUUAAUUAUUUAAGCAAGGUUAUUAUUAUUUUAAAAAUCAUAGACAUCUAUCUAUUCCUUGAUCUCUGUUCUUAGAGCUGCUUCACAGUUGUAAUCCUGAUAUCUCUUUCACAUUGCAUUUUGGGGAUUCUUUUUGCCUUUCUCUUAUGUAGGAUUCCCCUAUUUAGUUCCGCUGUCUUCUUCUUUUUAAUUUUUUUAAACAAAUUUUUGGGGUACAUGUGAAAUUUUGUUACAUGUAUGUAAUGCACAGUGAUCAAGUCGGGGUAUUUAGGAUGUCCAUCACCUGAGUACAACACAUUUUUUGUUAACUAUAGUCACCCUACUCUGCUAUCAAAUAUUGCAUUUAUCUCUUCUAUCGAACUGCAUGUUUGUACUCUUUAACCUAUUUCUUUUCAUUCUUUCUCCUUCCCCCAGUCACCUUUCCCAAUCUCCAUUAUCUCUUUCCACUCUACCUCUAGGUGAUCAAAUUUUUUAGCUUCCACAUGUAAGUACAUACAUACAAUAUUUAUCUUUUUAUGCCUGGCUUACUUCACUUAAUAUAAUGAUCAUUCAUGUUGCUGCAAAUGACAUGAUUUCAUUCUUUUUUUAUGGCCAAAUGGUAUUCCACUGUGUAUAUUUACCACGUUUUCUUUACCUAUUCAUCCAUUGAUGGGUAUUUAAGUUUGUUUCAUAUAUUUGCUAUUGUGAAUAGUGCUGCAAUAAAAAUGCAAAUGCUUUGUA